ensembl:lncRNA
UUUUUCUUUUUUUUUUUUUAACCUAAGGCUUCGUUGUUUUUGUUAGAGUAGCAUGGCUUUUACUUAUUUGUGUAAAUUCACAUUUUGUAUUGCUAAAGCCACUCUUCAAAUUUAAUUCUUAUUUUGCAGUCGUAGUAACAGAGCCUCGUACAGGUUAAUUUCUGUAGUUGGCAGAUAUUUUGAUGAAGCACUGACAACUUUGUCAGGAGAGCAUUGUCUCUGCUCAGGUUUAAUAUUCCAUUCAUCCUGCUGGGAGUUUUCUCAUCUCUUCUUGAAGGAAAAAUGGAGUUAUAAGAAAGAGACAAUAUCCUCUGCAACUGUAAAUCAUUGUAGGAUUGAUUUUGGAGGGAGGAAGAGAUGGGGAGACAGUGGUAUAAAGGUAUAAGAGAUAAGAUAUUUGACCAUAACAGGCAGACAAAAUGGGAUCUUUUUUUUCCAGUGCCUAUAUUGCCUCUUUCAGGAAAGAUCUUUCUCACACAAAGGUGGCAUCUGUAAGAGUUUGUACAUGUCCAGCCUGCAGGUACUGCAAUGGGUGAGGAAACUGUGGGGAGGAGUUGCACUUAGACCUAUCUGAUACAAAUAUUCUGCCCCCAAAUGUGCCCCUGGGGAGACAGUGAGAGCUCAAUGCACUAGAAAAUGCCAGUGGGUUGACUUAAAUUCAGGAAAAUGUGAUUUUCUCAUCAAAUUGUGCCAACCUAUACAGAAAGGUAUCAGUAUUCAGUCUGAGCUGAUAAUAGGUUUAAAAGAUGUAGUAUAAUCAGUGCUGCCAAGAGACAGCAUAGACACAUCAUUCCUUGUGUGCUGCUGUAGAAUAGAAAUUAAAUUGUUGUAAAGGGCUCCAUUGAAAUAGACCUUUGAACUUUAUGCUUUAUGAAAAGUUGUGAUACUUGGAGAUCAGUGAACCAAAAGUCUUUUUUUCUUUAUUUUUUUCAUACUUAUCUGAGGAAGUAGGAGAUGUUUUAGCAUAGUAAUAUUUGCUAAGGAGCUCUUGAAGGUGGCCUCAUGCUCUAAUGCUUACAGCAGGAAGCAACAACCUAAACAGCCUCAAGGAAGACUUUUGAAUGGACUCCAGGAUACCCAGUAGGCUGUGUUUGGAGGAUUUAUCUUGAUUUUACUGAAGCUAAAGUAAGGAAAGAAAAAAAUGAAAGGAAGUAUUUUUCUGGUGUAGGUCUUUGACAGCAUCUUACUCUCCAGUCUCUGCUGAAUGAAUAGUGAGAGGACUGCAAGGUCUGCAUGCAUCUCCAUUGUCAUCUGGGAUGCAUGCAGAAAUAAAUAACAAAAUGUGGAAGAGAAAUAGUUUUAUUUACUUCAGUUAGAGAUUACAAAAGUUACAGAAUCAUAUGAAGUAUGCAGAAAUCUUCACAGCUUCUUGGAAGAAGCAUUGGCUGGUGGGGGACUUUUUCAUUAGGUCUAUUUAUAUGUCUGACUAGUUUUUAAGGGUACAACAAUCUAACAUUUGAAACCCACAGUCUCCUUUUAAUGCUGCAUUACUGUGGAAUAUCACUUUUGCAUAUGUGUAAGCAUUACUGAAAAAUCAGGAAAUGUCUAAGCUAUGCUAGUUGGAUCCUUAAAUGGUGAUUCACAAAGAUUUUUAAGUGUCUGAGAGUCUUUUAUAGGUUUGCAUAGAAUCAGCUCUUGUAAUGAGAAAAACAUGAAGCCAUAACUAAGCCUCAAUGUUAUUAAAAAAUAAAUGAGAACUUAACAAUAAAGGAAAAAGGUAUGAUUUCUCAUUCUUCCCAAAAUGCAAAAAAAUUAUAGAAAUUUUGCCUUGCAACUUCUGUUAGAAUUGAGGAGGGUAGAAAAUUUUUAAAUUUUUGACACAUUUAUCCACAUAUUGUAAUGAUUUCUGCAUGCUCUGAUCACAAAUUUUUGCUUCUAUUUACCGAAAUACAAUCUUCCUACAUAUUUGGUAUACAGCAAUUUGAUUUUGUGUGAGGAUAAGGAGGGUUGAUCAAAUGAGUGUCAGUUACGUUGACAGCAAAUAAGGGACAACUUGUUGAAAGGUGCUGGAAGCAUGGCAUCAGUUCUUACAUGGCAGGGGAAGCAAUAUGAACACUUCCUUGUUUUCCUUGUCUGCCUCUUUAGCUGUCUCUGUUACUUUUGCAUCAAUUCAUCAGCAAAGGCAUUCUGUAAGAAGUGUCUCUGCCUAUCAGAGAAAGCGAUAGCUUUCUGUUGCUCAAGACCACAGUGCCAGGCAAAAUGGACAUAUUAUAUUUUUCUCCUUUCUCAAUUUAUGAAUUUAUGGUGGCUGUUAUUUUCUUUGAAGGGAUUAUAUUUCCGAUAUUUCUGAGAGCCCAGAGGAUGAUCCUAAAUACCUCAAAGAGGCUUAGACACCAAAUCACUCUCUAGGAGCUGGAGAGUGAUCAAUUCUUGAUCAAGAAGAACUAAAUGUCAGUUUUUCCUGAUGCACCACACACACAAAAUUGAUACCUGCUUGCAAAGUCUCCCUUCUUUCUCACAGCUGCUAUUAGAUUAACAGGCAUCCUCACAGGAAAAAAUGGACCAUUUUAUGCCACAUCAUGAUGUGUUAGAAAACUUAGGAAGCAUGGCAUUAAAAAGCCUGGAAUGAGCUAAUCAUCUGGGACCUUCAGAAAUCCAACUGCUGGCAGAGCUGACCUUGCCCCAGGUAGGUGCAGGUAUGGCAUGUUAAUGUCUGGUUCAGAGCUUAGGACUGAAUUAGAGCUAAUCACUGCAGUCAGCAUAGCAGGAUAGAGAGAACAAACAGUGACAUACAAAUUGAGUGAAAGGAAAUUGUGCUAAGUAAGGAAGGAAUAAAUAAUUGGCUAGGUUUCUUUGUUAUUACCUUGUAAUGAAAAAUUUGAGUUUGUUACUGACCUGCUGUUUAAAGCCAGUACCAUUAAAGUGGAACUAGAAUGUUAAUAGCGUAAAUAUUUCUUUCUGAUGCUUCUGGCUUAAUGCACCUUUAAUUAAAUCUUUUGGAACAACCACUUCGCUUUUCUUGGGAAGGAGAAAAAAUAUUGGUAAUAAUCCAUUGCUAAUUUAGGGAUAUCAUUUUUGUAACCAUCAAUGCAAUUAGUAAAGGUUGCUUGGAUAUUUUGAAGCAAAAUUAAAUGUUAGAGCUGUGCAAUGCGCUCUGUAAUCUUUUUACAUAUGUAGCUCUUACUUAGCAUGCUGUUCAAACAGUGAGAUGAUAACAGUAAGGUGAUUGUUCCUUUUUGUUGUUUUUUCAGUGCUUCCCCUAUAGUGAGUACUGCUGAGCAUGUGAAAGAUAUGCCACAAAAUCUUCCAUUUCACACAUAAAUAAAAGUGGAAGAACAAGUUCUCAAUGCAGUUUAAGUAGAUGGGAAAAUUCCCUGAGCUCAUCAAAGGCCAGUGUGAACUUUAACUCUUAAGUGACUAAAAGUUCAGUUCUGGCAGUAGGUGCAAAAAGCAUGGCUGGCUGGCAGACAGCCAGAGUGAGAAGCUUGCCUCUAACUUGCAGUCAUGGCUCAGGUGAUGGUGGUACAGGGGCAAUGAGCUUGGGUAGGGUCAGUUCCUGAGGAACAUCCCACUCAUUUGCUAUUUGUGUGAGGACAGUGGGGAAGAGAAAGCAGAAUUUAAAAUGGAGGAUCAAAACCUUCUGAAUUUUCAUUUUCUAAGGGGAAAGAAGAAAUGUAGUGCUUAAUGGAUGAUGAUAAAUGCCUUAAGAGGUCUGAAAGAAGAACCUGUUUGUUUCUGUUAAAGAAUAUAACUGGCUGUUUCUGAGCCUGCUGCAGCUCUGGUGUCAUGGGCAAAUUGGACUUGAGGUGAACUGAAGCAGUACAAAUAAAGAUCACUGUCGUCUGCAUGAACAGUACAGAAAAAGAGUAGAAACUGCUGGUACAAAUACAAAGAGAAGGCUCUUUCCUGAAGAUCUUGCAUGAGGUAAGAUGAAGAGGGACCAAACAUUCUUUCCCAUGUUCUUCAGCUCUGGAUCUGCAGCAUGGAGAACUUGAUUUGCAUGCCAUUGCCCUUGAGGAGGGAUGUGGAAUGAGGAGCUAAGCACAACCCUUUCCUGGCAAAAGACAUUUGAAGACAUAUAUGGGGAGUUCUCCAUACUGCUCAUUCUUUUAAGUAACACUCAAGAGUGUUACUUAAACACUCUGCAUUCAUGACAGAUUUCAGAUUUCUGUUAGGACCUGUGACAAAUUUUAAAGAGUAGCAAGUUGAACAAAACCUUGUGUGAAGAGGUUAAUGUCAGAGAGGCUGGAGAAAAGGCUGAAAAAAAAAGUUGGUUGAUCCAAAACUACAUUGUGAGAGUACAAAAUCAAUCUGAGUUGACUGUAUUGUCAUCAAUCUGGAAUGUGCAAGUAAUUGUUGAAGUACCCCUUUGCAGUUUGUGCCCUGAAGAACCUCUGAGUGUUAUCUUCUGCUUUUCAAUUGUUGUGUAACUUCACUGUUGUUUUUUAAAAAGCUGUAGGUGACAUGGGUAUACA